rnacentral:rRNA from 1 species
CCUACGGGAGGCAGCAGUGGGGAAUUUUGGACAAUGGGCGAAAGCCUGAUCCAGCAAUGCCGCGUGAGUGAAGAAGGCCUUCGGGUUGUAAAGCUCUUUUGUCAGGGAAGAAACGGUGAGGGCUAAUAUCCCUUGCUAAUGACGGUACCUGAAGAAUAAGCACCGGCUAACUACGUGCCAGCAGCCGCGGUAAUACGUAGGGUGCAAGCGUUAAUCGGAAUUACUGGGCGUAAAGCGUGCGCAGGCGGUUUUGUAAGUCUGUCGUGAAAUCCCCGGGCUCAACCUGGGAAUUGCGAUGGAGACUGCAAGGCUAGAAUCUGGCAGAGGGGGGUAGAAUUCCACGUGUAGCAGUGAAAUGCGUAGAGAUGUGGAGGAACACCGAUGGCGAAGGCAGCCCCCUGGGUCAAGAUUGACGCUCAUGCACGAAAGCGUGGGGAGCAAACAGGAUUAGAUACCCUGGUAGUCCACGCCCUAAACGAUGUCUACUAGUUGUCGGGUUUUAAUUAACUUGGUUAACGCAGCUAACGCGUGAAGUAGACCGCCUGGGGAGUACGGUCGCAAGAUUAAAACUCAAAGGAUUGACG